GGGGUUGUGGCUAAGGGUAGAGCACUUGCCUUGCAAGUAUGAGGCACUGGGUUUGAUCCUCAGCACCA
rnacentral:tRNA from 1 species